rnacentral:rRNA from 1 species
GAUGAACGCUGGCGGCGUGCUUAACACAUGCAAGUCGAACGGAAAGGCCCAAGCUUGCUUGGGUACUCGAGUGGCGAACGGGUGAGUAACACGUGGGUGAUCUGCCCUGCACUUCGGGAUAAGCCUGGGAAACUGGAUCUAAUACCGGAUAGGACCACAUCUUGGAUGGAGUGGUGGAAAGUUUUUCGGUGUGGGAUGAGCUCGCGGCCUAUCAGCUUGUUGGUGGGGUAAUGGCCUACCAAGGCGUCGACGGGUAGCCGGCCGGAGAGGGUGUACGGCCACAUUGGGACUGAGAUACGGACCAGACUCCUACGGGAGGCAGCAGUGGGGAAUAUUGCACAAUGGGCGCAAGCCUGAUGCAGCGACGCCGCGUGGGGGAUGACGGCCUUCGGGUUGUAAACUCCUUUCGCUAGGGACGAAGCGGAAGUGACGGUACCUGGAGAAGAAGCGCCGGCUAACUACGUG